rnacentral:snRNA from 1 species
GUGCUCUCUUCAGCAGCACAUAUACUAAAAUUGGAACGAUACAGAGAAGAUUAGCAUGGCCCCUGCACAAGGAUGACAUACAAAUUCGUGAAGCAUUCCAUAUUUUU